GAUGAACGCUAGCUACAGGCUUAACACAUGCAAGUCGAGGGGUAGCAUGUUGGUUGCUUGCAACCGAUGAUGACGACCGGCGCACGGGUGAGUAACGCGUAUCCAACUUGGCUUAUACUUAGGGAUAACCCGUUGAAAGACGGCCUAAUACCUAAUGGUUUAUAAUAGUUGCAUGACUUUUGUAAUAAAGAUUUAUCGGUAUAAGAUAGGGAUGCGUCUGAUUAGUUAGUUGGUGAGGUAACGGCUCACCAAGGCAUCGAUCAGUAGGGGUUCUGAGAGGAAGGUCCCCCACAUUGGAACUGAGACACGGCCCAAACUCCUACGGGAGGCAGCAGUGAGGAAUAUUGGUCAAUGGACGUAAGUCUGAACCAGCCAAGUAGCGUGCAGGAUGACGGCCCUAUGGGUUGUAAACUGCUUUUAUGUGAGAAUAAAGUUAACUACGUGUAGUUAUUUGCAUGUAUCACAUGAAUAAGGACCGGCUAAUUCCGUGCCAGCAGCCGCGGUAAUACGGAAGGUCCAGGCGUUAUCCGGAUUUAUUGGGUUUAAAGGGAGCGUAGGCCGUUUGGUAAGCGUGCUGUGAAAUUUAGAGGCUCAACCUCUACCGUGCAGCGCGAACUGUCAGACUUGAGUGCGUAGUAGGUAGGCGGAAUUCGUGGUGUAGCGGUGAAAUGCUUAGAUAUCACGAAGAACUCCGAUUGCGAAGGCAGCUUACCGUAUCGCAACUGACGCUGAUGCUCGAAGGUGCGGGUAUCGAACAGGAUUAGAUACCCUGGUAGUCCGCACAGUAAACGAUGGAUGCUCGCUGUUGGCUUUUAUAGUCAGUGGCUUAGCGAAAGCGUUAAGCAUCCCACCUGGGGAGUACGCCGGCAACGGUGAAACUCAAAGGAAUUGACGGGGGCCCGCACAAGCGGAGGAACAUGUGGUUUAAUUCGAUGAUACGCGAGGAACCUUACCCGGGCUUGAACUGCAGGAGAACGAUUCAGAGAUGAUGAGGUCCUUCGGGACUCCUGUGGAGGUGCUGCAUGGUUGUCGUCAGCUCGUGCCGUGAGGUGUCGGCUUAAGUGCCAUAACGAGCGCAACCCCUUUUCUUAGUUGCCAUCGGGUGAUGCCGGGCACUCUGAGGAUACUGCCACCGUAAGGUGUGAGGAAGGUGGGGAUGACGUCAAAUCAGCACGGCCCUUACGUCCGGGGCUACACACGUGUUACAAUGGGGCAUACAGAGUGUUGGUUGCAUGUAAAUGUAAUCUAAUCUUUAAAGUGCUUCUCAGUUCGGACUGGGGUCUGCAACCCGACCCCACGAAGCUGGAUUCGCUAGUAAUCGCGCAUCAGCCAUGGCGCGGUGAAUACGUUCCCGGGCCU
rnacentral:rRNA from 1 species